rnacentral:ncRNA from 1 species
UCACCACUCUUCUUGGAGACCGGGCCUAAUACGCCUACCGAGACUAUCCAAGUAAAAUACGUCUCUCAUACCAACCCUGGAGGGUAGGGUUGGAAUACUAUACUCU